rnacentral:rRNA from 1 species
CACGUAGGGCGCAAGCGUUGUCCGGAAUUAUUGGGCGUAAAGAGCUCGUAGGCGGUCUGUUGCGUCUGCUGUGAAAACUCGGGGCUUAACCCCGAGCCUGCAGUGGAUACGGGCAGACUAGAGUGCGGUAGGGGAGACUGGAAUUCUCGGUGUAGCGGUGAAAUGCGUAGAUAUCGAGAGGAACACCUGCGGCGAAGGCGGGUUGCUGGGCUGACACUGACGCUGAUGCGCGAAAGCCAGGGGAGCGAACGGG